AUUGAACGCUGGCGGCAUGCCUUACACAUGCAAGUCGAACGGCAGCACGGGAGCAAUCCUGGUGGCGAGUGGCGAACGGGUGAGUAAAGUAUCGGAACGUGCCCAGUCGUGGGGGAUAACGUAGCGAAAGUUACGCUAAUACCGCAUACGAUCUAUGGAUGAAAGCGGGGGAUCGCAAGACCUCGCGCGAUUGGAGCGGCCGAUAUCAGAUUAGGUAGUUGGUGGGGUAAAGGCUCACCAAGCCGACGAUCUGUAGCUGGUCUGAGAGGACGACCAGCCACAAUGGGACUGAGACACGGCCCAGACUCCUACGGGAGGAAGCAGUAGGGAAUCUUGCGCAAUGGGCGAAAGCCUGACGCAGCAACGCCGCGUGGAGGACGAAGUCCCUAGGGAUGUAAACUUCUUUUAAGAGGGAAGAAAUGGUCUGUAAAGACAGUUGACGGUACCUCUUGAAUAAGCACCGGCUAACUCCGUGCCAGCCGCCGCCGUAA
rnacentral:rRNA from 1 species